rnacentral:rRNA from 1 species
UGGGGAAUUUUGGACAAUGGGCGAAAGCCUGAUCCAGCAAUGCCGCGUGUGUGAAGAAGGCCUUCGGGUUGUAAAGCACUUUUGUCCGGAAAGAAAUCCUUGGCUCUAAUACAGUCGGGGGAUGACGGUACCGGAAGAAUAAGCACCGGCUAACUACGUGCCAGCAGCCGCGGUAAUACGUAGGGUGCAAGCGUUAAUCGGAAUUACUGGGCGUAAAGCGUGCGCAGGCGGUUUGCUAAGACCGAUGUGAAAUCCCCGGGCUCAACCUGGGAACUGCAUUGGUGACUGGCAGGCUAGAGUAUGGCAGAGGGGGGUAGAAUUCCACGUGUAGCAGUGAAAUGCGUAGAGAUGUGGAGGAAUACCGAUGGCGAAGGCAGCCCCCUGGGCCAAAUACUGACGCUCAUGCACGAAAGCGUGGGGAGCAAACAGGAUUAGAUACCCUGGUAGUCCACGCCCUAAACGAUGUCAACUAGUUGUUGGGGAUUCAUUUCCUUAGUAACGUAGCUAACGCGUGAAGUUGACCGCCUGGGGAGUACGGUCGCAAGAUUAAAACUCAAAUGAAUUGACGGGGUCAUAGCUGUUUCCU